CGUUUAUACUACUCUUUUCUAACUUCCUAUUAUAGAGACAUUUCUUUUUACUAUACUUUUUAUUGUCAUUGCUACGUAGGUAUCGACAAAUUUUAAAAAUAGUAUAACCAAAUUAAGGAAAUUCAAUGAUUAAUGCUUUUAAUAAUUUUAAAAUUUUAACGAGUACUCAAAUACUACUAUUACUGAAGUUUUGGAAGGAAGGCUAUGUUUUAUGAAAAUUAUCUUAGGUUAUUAAUAUUUAAUUAAUAAAAAUGAUUACGAAUUGUUCAUAAUUAUUUGUAUAAAUAAUUUAAUAAAUGGGUAAUUGUCAAACAAUUCAAUAAUAGUUAUUGUUUCAUAGUAAAAACAAAAAAGUGAAUAAUAAAAUAAU